rnacentral:lncRNA from 1 species
GGAAGGUCUCUCGAAGGAUCUAAAACUGAUUUUUAUGGUAUGGUGUUAUGAGGAGGUUUGGAGAAGAGAUUAAAAAAAAGAAAGAAAGAAGGAAAGAAAGAAAGAAUAGUAUUGAGAAAAGGAAAAAAAAGAAAUAAUAGGAAAAGAGAGAAAGAAAUAAAGGAGGAGUUUUUACUGUCAUGAAGAUAAAGAGAGGUGCAAAGAAAAGAUGAACUUGUUUACUGAACGGAUUCCAACGUUGAGGACAUCGCUUGAGCCUAAGAGUCAUUAUUUUAUUUGCCUUUGCACAUGUCCACCAUUCUAUAUCUUCUCAUCCUUGAAAAC